CGUGUAGGCGGUCAGGUUAGUGGGACGUGAAAUGCCCCGGCUCACCCGGGGACCUGCGUCCCAAACUGCCUGGCUUGAGUAUGGGAGAGGAUGAGGGAAUUCCUGGUGUAGCGGUGAAAUGCGUAGAUAUCAGGAGGAACACCGGUGGCGAAGGCGCUCAUCUGGCCCAAUACUGACGCUGAGGCGCGAAAGCUAGGGAGGCAAACG
rnacentral:rRNA from 1 species